rnacentral:rRNA from 1 species
CCCUUAGAGUUUGAUCCUGGCUCAGGAUGAACGCUAGCUACAGGCUUAACACAUGCAAGUCGAGGGGCAUCAGUUUGGUUUGCUUGCAAACCAAAGCUGGCGACCGGCGCACGGGUGAGUAACACGUAUCCAACCUGCCUCAUACUCGGGGAUAGCCUUUCGAAAGAAAGAUUAAUAUCCGAUAGCAUAUAUUUCCCGCAUGGGUUUUAUAUUAAAGAAAUUCGGUAUGAGAUGGGGAUGCGUUCCAUUAGUUUGUUGGCGGGGUAACGGCCCACCAAGACUACGAUGGAUAGGGGUUCUGAGAGGAAGGUCCCCCACAUUGGAACUGAGACACGGUCCAAACUCCUACGGGAGGCAGCAGUGAGGAAUAUUGGUCAAUGGACGCGAGUCUGAACCAGCCAAGUAGCGUGAAGGAUGACUGCCCUAUGGGUUGUAAACUUCUUUUAUAGGGAAUAAAGUGGUCCACGUGUGGAU